rnacentral:rRNA from 1 species
GAUGAACGCUAGCGGCGGGCCUAAUACAUGCAAGUCGAACGGGAUUGGAGUAGCAAUAUUCCAUGAGAGUGGCGACCGGGUGCGUAACACGUAUGCAACCUACCUAAUACUGGGGUAUAGCCUCUCGAAAGAGAGAUUAAUCCCCCAUAAUACUAUGAAGAGGCAUCUCUUUAUAUUUAAAGCUUCGGCGGUAUUAGAUGGGCAUGCGUCCUAUUAGCUAGUUGGUGAGGUAACGGCUCACCAAGGCUACGAUAGGUAGGGGGUCUGAGAGGAUGAUCCCCCACACUGGUACUGAAACACGGACCAGACUCCUACGGGAGGCAGCAGUAGGGAAUAUUGGUCAAUGGACGAAAGUCUGAACCAGCCACGCCGCGUGAAGGAUGACGGCCCUAUGGGUUGUAAACUUCUUUUGUCAGGGAAAAACCCCCAUACGUGUAUGGGGCUGAUUGUACCUGGAGAAUAAGGAUCGGCUAACUCCGUGCCAGCAGCCGCGGUAAUGUCUGUACU